GCUGCAGGGUUGGAAUUACUGAGAUUGA
rnacentral:piRNA from 1 species